CUCUUUUUCUACUGCCCAAACACAAAUAUUAUGAUAUAAGUCAUCAAGCCAUGAGGCUCAGAACAGCCUGUCAGUAGGACUUUAUAAAUCCCUGUGGACUGAUAAUCAAACUGCCAUCCUUCUGAAUUCCUUCUGAGCCUGCCUCACACACUCUCUGAACCAAUACAGGAAGAAGCCUACCAGAAUCCACUGCUCAGAUAAUGAAGGCUCCUAAACUCAUGUGAGUACAAGGGCAGACUCUCAAAGGCAGGGGCAGGCCCAGCGCCUGACCAUCAGGCAGAAGCUUCAACCGUGACACCAUAGCCUGGCAAAGACCCGGAGUGGAAGGACCAGAAGACUCCUGGGAUGUGUGCAGUAUGGAAGCAUGUUUCUUCAUCACCUGAUCCUGGGUGAAAUAAAGUUCAGACUCGACG
rnacentral:lncRNA from 1 species